GACGAACGCUGGCGGCGUGCCUAAUACAUGCAAGUAGAACGCUGAAGCGAGGAGCUUGCUCUUCUUGGAUGAGUUGCGAACGGGUGAGUAACGCGUAGGUAACCUGCCUUGUAGCGGGGGAUAACUAUUGGAGACGAUAGCUAAUACCGCAUAACAAUGGAUGACACAUGUCAUUUAUUUGAAAGGGGCAAUUGCUCCACUACAAGAUGGACCUGCGUUGUAUUAGCUAGUAGGUGAGGUAAUGGCUCACCUAGGCGACGAUACAUAGCCGACCUGAGAGGGUGGUCGGCCACACUGGGACUGAGACACGGCCCACACUCCUACGGGAGGCAGCAGUAGGGAAUCUUCGGCAAUGGGGGCAACCCUGACCGAGCAACGCCGCGUGAGUGAAGAAGGUUUUCGGAUCGUAAAGCUCUGUUGUAAGUCAAGAACGGGUGUGAGAGUGGAAAGUUCACACUGUGACGGUAGCUUACCAGAAAGGGACGGCUAACUACGUG
rnacentral:rRNA from 1 species